AGAACGAACGCUGGCGGCAUGCCUAACACAUGCAAGUCGAACGCUUUUGGGGCUUCGGUCCCAAAGGAGUGGCGCACGGGUGAGUAGCGCGUGGGAACCUGCCCUGUUGUGGGGGAUAACCGAGGGAAACUUCGGCUAAUACCGCAUACGCCCGGGGGAAACUCCGGGGAAAGAUUUAUCGCAGCAGGAGGGGCCCGCGUCGGAUUAGGUAGUUGGUGGGGUAACGGCCCACCAAGCCUGUGAUCCGUAGCUGGUCUGAGAGGAUGAUCAGCCACACUGGGACUGAGACACGGCCCAGACUCCUACGGGAGGCAGCAGUGGGAAUAUUGGACAAUGGGCGCAAGCCUGAUCCAGCAAUGCCGCGUGAGUGAUGAAGGCCUUCGGGUUGUAAAGCUCUUUCGCACGCGACGAUGAUGACGGUAGCGUGAGAAGAAGCCCGGCUAACUUCGUGCCAGCAGCCGC
rnacentral:rRNA from 1 species